GCUUGCCAAUAAUCAGGCAACCUGUUAUCUACCUCAGCCCUGCGACCUCUCCUUAGACCUAUAUAAACACACAGCCUUUUGUAAUAAAGCGGAAACCUCUUUGGUGAUCUGUGUCGUGUGGUGUGGCGUCUUCCAGUCUUCCAGUGGUGCCGAAACCCGGGAGGCAGUGUGCUCGACAAACCGAGCCCCGUCUCUGCCACCGCCAUCACCAAUGACACAUUUCGCCCUUGUCUGUCUUUUUGGGCGCGGACUCCCUGCACUCACACUGAUCGGGUCUAGGCUCUAUUGCAGAAAAGAGGAUAACACCCCAAACUGAGGUCUUGACAGCAGCCCUGAGGCCUACAUCUCCAGCAAAAGUUUCAGAGGGGAACCAGCAUUCCUCUCCACCAGAGGCUUGCCUCAAAUAUGGAUGCAAAGGUCACUGGGCUCGCCAAUGCCCAAACCCACAGCCUCCUUCCAGACCAUGCCCCACCUGUAAGCAGACAGGACAUUGGAAGAUUGACUGCCGCUGGCUGGCUCUUCCUUGGCACCUCUACGCAGCGGGUAUGACCAGUCAGGCAGUCCCCUCUCCUGAACUUUUGAGGUUUGCAGAAGACUGAAGAAGCACAGAUUCAAAGACCCCCUCAGCCCUCUCCGAGCCCAGGGUAAUGCUCCAGGCAGAUGGCGCUUCUACAUCCAAGCGACAUGGCAACAGGAUGGCACCAUCCGCUCUCAGUCUAUGGGCCAAGGCGAUUGGCCUUUCACUGGCUGUAAUCGGGCCCUUAAUGUUACUGAAUUCAACUGGGCCACCUCAUCCCACUUAUGUUCAGCAAUGCUAUGCUUCAAAGCAGAUCAAACUGAGGAAUUCUGUUGAAGCCAUAUCACCAGGAGGCCGCCCCACCUGCUGAUGACAAGACUACCCCAGAGGAGCCUCAAGGGUCACCUCCUAGACCUCCCCUUUACUCCUGCUCUCCACAUCCUAACUAUCCUCUAAAGCUUCUUCUGUCUCGUGUAACUGCCCAUACUCCACCAUGACUCCCACUCUUCUAAGUGGUAUUUUCACAGUCAUCACCAUUUUCCAGGGGAUAUCAUCGCCCUCCUCUUAAAGCAUUCCAAACAGCAGUUGUUAGACUCCAUACAGGAUCAAUAUGAGCCUAAUGUCAGGAGUCCACUACAGUAUUCAUGGCUAUGACUACUUACUAAAACUGUAACCUUCUUAAAUCUAACCCUCCCCGUCAUCACACCAACUGAUUGCUACUUAUGCGCCUCUCUGACUCAACCAUUACUUGCAGCGGUUCCCUUGAACUUCUAGGCUUCUGACCUCUCAAAUUUCUCCACUCCAUCUGCCGGCCGAACCCUUUCACCCAAUGCUCCAUUAUGGGAGCCCGAGGAGUCUAGCCAUACUGUGAGUUUAACCAUACUGCGCUGCCUCCUGGGCUUGGGUGUCUCCCAGUCAGUUUUGCCACUCUAACAUCACCUUUAACUUCACCCUCUAUGCACCACCUGGCUCAUUCUUCUGGUGUAAUGGUUCUCUCAUCAUUAUCUUAUUCACCAACACCUCUACGCCAUGUAUACUGGUGACACUUGUCCCACAAUUGACUCUCUAUACUCCAGCUGAAGUGCAGGCCCUCUUGUCUCCCCCCAGCGAGGAAUAAGCGGGCUGCUUUCCUUCCAAUACUGGUGGGUCUCUCACUGGCUGUAUCUGCAGUGGGAACCGGAAUAUCUGGUGGAGCUCUAGGACACUCCUUAUGGGCUGUACAGUUCUAAACUGUUCAAGUUCUAAACUUGAACAAGCACUCACUUCUACGGCAGAAUCUCUAGCAUCCUUACAAAGGCGGGUCACAUCCUUGGCUCAAGUUACUCUUCAAAAUCAACGAGCUAUAGACUUACUCACAGCCAAAAAAGGUGAAACCUUCUUUUCUUGAGGGAAGAAUGCUGUUACUACAUCAAUGAAUCAGGCCUUGUGGAAACUAAUGUAGUCAAGCUCACUGACUUGGCUACCUCUUUGAAAAAUCCACCAAACCAAAACCCAUUUGCCACCUUCUUUUUAGCCCCUUUUAGGGCCUAUAUGUCUUCUUUUCCUGAUGUGUCUGUUCCUGCCCUGUCUGCUUCAGUUCCUACAGGGCCAAUUACGGAAGAUCUCUAACUAAACUUUCAGCCAGCCUCUGCUUAGGUACUACUAGCCUCUGGUGACCGAUGAGCCCCCAACAUCUUCAAGAGAACAGCUCACUCAUUGCUGAAGCUCACUACCAGGAGCGAUGGAAUGCAACGGACAUCGGACAGUGGGAGACAACGAGCCCGGAGAACCCCUUAAUCUGCCAUCCUGGAUUUUUGA